rfam:Dipodomys ordii contig_67431, whole genome shotgun sequence.
GGUGGCUCAGUGGUAGAGUGCUUGCCUUGCAUGCAUGAGGUCCUGGGUUUGAUUCCCCAGCACCA